GACGAGCGCUGGCGGCGUGCCUAAUACAUGCAAGUUGAGCGCUGAAGGUUGGUACUUGUACCAACUGGAUGAGCAGCGAACGGGUGAGUAACGCGUGGGGAAUCUGCCUUUGAGCGGGGGACAACAUUUGGAAACGAAUGCUAAUACCGCAUAAAAACUUUAAACACAAGUUUUAAGGUUGAAAGAUGCAAUUGCAUCACUCAAAGAUGAUCCCGCGUUGUAUUAGCUAGUUGGUGAGGUAAAGGCGCACCAAGGCGAUGAUACAUAGCCGACCUGAGAGGGUGAUCGGCCACCUUGGGACUGAGACACGGCCCAAACUCCUACGGGAGGCAGCAGUAGGGAAUCUUCGGCAAUGGACGAAAGUCUGACCGAGCAACGCCGCGUGAGUGAAGAAGGUUUUCGGAUCGUAAAACUCUGUUGGUAGAGAAGAACGUUGGUGAGAGUGGAAAGCUCAUCAAGUGACGGUAACUACCCAGAAAGGGACGGCUAACUACGUG
rnacentral:rRNA from 1 species